GUCUACAGCCGUAUCACCCUGAACACACCCUGUGCUGUCCGAACUCAGAAGCUAAGCAGGGUCAAGCUGGGUGAGAGACAUUUGGGGUAAGAAAACCACAGCAGUGAUGCCGUGUACU
rnacentral:rRNA from 1 species